AUUGAACGCUGGCGGAAUGCUUUACACAUGCAAGUCGAACGGCAGCACGGACUUCGGUCUGGUGGCGAGUGGCGAACGGGUGAGUAUUGUAUCGGAACGUGCCCAGUCGUGGGGGAUAACGUAGUGAAAAUUACGCUAAUACCGCAUACGAUCUAUGGAUGAAAGCGGGGGAUCGCAAGACCUCGCGCGAUUGGAGCGGCCGAUAUCAGAUUAGGUAGUUGGUGGGGUAAAGGCCCACCAAGCCAACGAUCUGGAGCUGGUUUGAGAGGACGACCAGCCACACUGGAACUGAGACACGGUCCAGACGCCAACGGGAGGCAGCAGUGGGGAAUUUUGGACAAUGGGCGAAAGCCUGAUCCAGCCAUUCCGCGUGCAGGAUGAAGGCCCUCGGGUUGUAGACUGCUUUUGUACAGAACGAAAAGGUUUCUACUGAUACUAGGAGCUCAUGACGGUACUGUAAGAAUAAGCACCGGCUAACUACGUGCCAGCCGCCGCCGUAA
rnacentral:rRNA from 1 species